rnacentral:rRNA from 1 species
GACGAACGCUGGCGGCGUGCUUAACACAUGCAAGUCGAACGGAAAGGCCCUGCUUUUGUGGGGUGCUCGAGUGGCGAACGGGUGAGUAACACGUGAGUAACCUGCCCUUGACUUUGGGAUAACUUCAGGAAACUGGGGCUAAUACCGGAUAGGAGCUCCUGCUGCAUGGUGGGGGUUGGAAAGUUUCGGCGGUUGGGGAUGGACUCGCGGCUUAUCAGCUUGUUGGUGGGGUAGUGGCUUACCAAGGCGUUGACGGGUAGCCGGCCUGAGAGGGUGGCCGGCCACAUUGGGACUGAGAUACGGCCCAGACUCCUACGGGAGGCAGCAGUGGGGAAUAUUGCACAAUGGGCGGAAGCCUGAUGCAGCAACGCCGCGUGCGGGAUGACGGCCUUCGGGUUGUAAACCGCUUUCGCCUGUGACGAAGCGUGAGUGACGGUAAUGGGUAAAGAAGCACCGGCUAACUACGUG